GUUGGGCGGCGAGCGGCGGACGGGUGAGUAAUGCCUGGGAACAUGCCUUAGUGUGGGGGAUAACCAUUGGAAACGAUGGCUAAUACCGCAUANUNUCUACGGAGCAAAGCGGGGGACCUUCGGGCCUCGCGCGCUAAGAUUGGCCCACGUGGGAUUAGCUAGUAGGUGGGGUAACGGCUCACCUAGGCGACGAUCCCUAGCUGGUCUGAGAGGAUGAUCACCACACUGGAACUGAGACUCGGUCCAGACUCCUACGGGAGGCAGCAGUGGGGAAUAUUGCACAAUGGGGGAAACCCUGAUGCAGCCAUGCCGCGUGUGUGAAGAAGGCCUUCGGGUUGUAAAGCACUUUCAGCAUGAGGAAGAGGUGAUGUUUAAUAGAUGUCAUCUUUGACGUUAGCUGCAGAAGAAGCACCGGCUAACUCCGUGCCAGCAGCCGCGGUAAUACGGGAGGGUGCGAAGCGUUAAUC
rnacentral:rRNA from 1 species